CUGACACAGGUGCUGCAUGGCUGUCGUCAGCUCGUGUCGUGAGAUGUUGGGUUAAGUCCCGUAACGAGUCGCAACCCUUGUCCUUAGUUACCAGCACGUUAUGGUGGGCACUCUAAGGAGACUGCCGGUGACAAACCGGAGGAAGGUGGGGAAUGACGUCAAGUCAUCAUGGCCCUUACGGCCUGGGCUACACACGUGCUACAAUGGUCGGUACAAAGGGUUGCCAAGCCGCGAGGUGGAGCUAAUACCCAUAAAACCGAUCGUAGUCCGGAUCGCAGUCUGCAACUCGACUGCGUGAAGUCGGAAUCGCUAGUAAUCGUGAAUCAGAAUGUCACGGUGAAUACGUUCCCGGGCCUU
rnacentral:rRNA from 1 species